rnacentral:rRNA from 1 species
UACAGAGGUCCCAAGCGUUGUUCGGAUUCACUGGGCGUAAAGGGUGCGUAGGCGGUCGGGUAAGUCUGAUGUGAAAUCUCACAGCUUAACUGUGAAACUGCAUUGGAUACUAUCCGGCUAGAGGAAUGGAGGGGAGACUGGAAUACUUGGUGUAGCAGUGAAAUGCGUAGAUAUCAAGUGGAACACCAGUGGCGAAGGCGGCUCACUGGCCCGGUACUGACGCUGAGGCACGAAAGCGUGGGGAGCAAACAGG